GCUCUUUUAGAUGAGACGGUACAUCACCCAUUGCGCAUGCUUGAAUGCUAACAAUAAAAGUGGGAGUUGGAGGUUCAAAUCCCCCCAAGAGCA